rnacentral:tRNA from 1 species
AGCCCCAUCGUACAGCGGUCAAGUAUGCUGGCCUUUGGAGCCAGCGACCUCGGUUCGAAUCCGAGUGGGGCUA